rnacentral:lncRNA from 10 species
UUAUCACUAUAAACUUCCCUCUUAGAACUGCUUCUGCUGUAUCCCGCGAGUUUUGGUGCGUUGUAUUUCCAUUGUUCAAGUGAAUGUGUCUCCCACCACGUCCCUUGGUAGACAGUGCUGCUCCCAGACCCCAGCUGAGAGGAGAUGGAACUGCGUCACUGGCUGCUUCACCAUCCACAGCCUGGACUGAGCUGGGUGGGCCUGCUACUGGAAGUACAGGUGGGCAUGGCUCUUCCCACAUCCCUGGCUUGGCAGAUGGUGCCAGUUGCAGGAUCAAGCUCUGCCCACCAUUGAGCAGCCCAGGCAUCAUGGAGCCUCAGUACUCUUCCUUCGGGCCACAUGGCGCACUCCUUGGCUAGACCAUUCGUCAACCGCACCCGAGGUUUU